rnacentral:lncRNA from 10 species
UGGGCAUGAAAGAAGAGCUGAGUCCCAGGCUGGGAGGGCUGAGGAAACAGAGUGGGCAGGCAGCUGCUGCAAAGAAAGAGGUUUGUGGACUGCAGAGCCAGCUGAAGAAUUAUAAACCGUGCAGAGGAGAAGGGAGUCUCCUCUUACUUCCCAUUAAGCAGCAAAUAAGCCAAACAGGGUGGCAUGGCAACACCAUGUGAACAGGAGAGACAGAGUCUGAAAGCCUGGUAGAGAAAAGAGCCACGGCCACCGUGCCAAGGAAAGCUGAGCCUCUGUGUGCCUCAGUGUCUGUGUCCGUGAAAUGGGGUGAGUGAUGCCUGCCCCUGUUUCCCUUCCAGGUGGGCAUCUUAGUGACAGUGGCAGUGCAGCUGUAGCACACACGGGAGGAGGCUCACAUCCCUACUCAAUCCCUGGGUACAUGGUUGCUCUGGCGGGAGGGCAGGGCAGAUUCACGCCAGGACAGCGGUCAGCCCCAGGGGAAGCAGCUGCUUGUGCACGGGGGCAGCGAUCCCCCAGGGGCGGGAGCAGAAGGGUGCAGGGGAAAUCAGGAGCCAGCUGG